rnacentral:rRNA from 1 species
UACAGAGGUCUCAAGCGUUGUUCGGAUUCAUUGGGCGUAAAGGGUGCGUAGGUGGCGCGGUAAGUCGGGUGUGAAAUUUCGGAGCUUAACUCCGAAACUGCAUUCGAUACUGCCGUGCUUGAGGACUGGAGAGGAGACUGGAAUUUACGGUGUAGCAGUGAAAUGCGUAGAGAUCGUAAGGAAGACCAGUGGCGAAGGCGGGUCUCUGGACAGUUCCUGACACUGGAGGCACGAAAGCCGUGGGGAUCAAAACAGG